rnacentral:rRNA from 1 species
UGGGGAAUCUUGCGCAAUGGGCGAAAGCCUGACGCAGCGACGCCGCGUGGGGGAAGAAGGCUUUCGGGUUGUAAACCCCUUUCAGGAGGGACGAAGCCACUCGGGUGAAUAGCCCAGAGGGUGACGGUACCUCCAGAAGAAGCCCCGGCUAACUACGUGCCAGCAGCCGCGGUAAUACGUAGGGGGCAAGCGUUGUCCGGAUUUAUUGGGCGUAAAGAGCGUGUAGGCGGCCAUGUAGGUCCGUUGUGAAAACUCGAGGCUCAACCUCGAGACGCCGAUGGAAACCAUGUGGCUAGAGUCCGGAAGAGGAGAGUGGAAUUCCUGGUGUAGCGGUGAAAUGCGCAGAUAUCAGGAAGAACACCCGUGGCUUAAGGCGGCUCUCUAGUACGGUACUGACGCUGAGACGCGAAAGCGUGGGGAGCGAACA